rnacentral:rRNA from 1 species
GCGAACGGGUGAGUAACACGUGAGCAACCUGCCCCGAAGACCGGGAUAACAGCGGGAAACCGCUGCUAAUACCGGAUGUCCCCACCGAGUCGCAUGGCUUGGUGAGGAAAUGGAUUCCGCUUCGGGAGGGGCUCGCGGCCUAUCAGCUUGUUGGUGGGGUAACGGCCUACCAAGGCUACGACGGGUAGCUGGUCUGAGAGGACGAUCAGCCACACUGGGACUGAGACACGGCCCAGACUCCUACGGGAGGCAGCAGUGGGGAAUAUUGCGCAAUGGGCGAAAGCCUGACGCAGCAACGCCGCGUGAGGGAUGAAUGCCUUCGGGUUGUAAACCUCUUUCGAGCAGGGACGAUAAUGACGGUACCUGCAGAAGAAGCUCCGGCCAACUACGUGCCAGCAGCCGCGGUAAUACGUAGGGAGCGAGCGUUGUCCGGAUUCAUUGGGCGUAAAGAGCUCGUAGGCGGCUUGGUAAGUCGGAUGUGAAACCUCCAGGCUCAACCUGGAGUCGCCAUCCGAUACUGCCAUGGCUAGAGUCCGGUAGGGGCCCACGGAAUUCCUGGUGUAGCGGUGAAAUGCGCAGAUAUCAGGAGGAACACCGGUGGCGAAGGCGGUGGGCUGGGCCGGCACUGACGCUGAGGAGCGAAAGCGUGGGGAGCGAACAGGAUUAGAUACCCUGGUAGUCCACGCCGUAAACGUUGGGCACUAGGUGUGGGGCCUUAUCAACGGGUUCCGUGCCGUAGCUAACGCAUUAAGUGCCCCGCCUGGGGAGUACGGCCGCAAGGCUAAAACUCAAAGGAAUUGACGGGGGCCCGCAC